ACGGGAUCCGUCCCGUUGAAAGGAAUGUAGCUCGUAAAGAGCCGAACCUUAGG
ncrna:unclassified sequences eL15-Euryarchaeota ribosomal protein leader